rnacentral:rRNA from 1 species
ACUGCGAACUCGUAAGAGCAAGCGAAUCUCAAAAGAUAGUCUCAGUUCGGAUUGUGGGCUGCAACCCGCCCACAUGAAGUCGGAGUUGCUAGUAAUCCCGAAUCAGCAUGUCGGGGUGAAUGCGUUCCCGGGCCUUGUACACACCGCCCGUCACGCCAUGGGAGCUGGUAAUACCCAAAGUCGGUGCACCAACCGCAAGGAGGAAGCCGCCUAAGGUAGGAUCAGUGACUGGGGUGAAGUCGUAACAAGGUACC